rnacentral:rRNA from 1 species
GACGAACGCUGGCGGCGUGCCUAACACAUGCAAGUUGAGCGACCAACCAAGGCUUGCCCUGGGGCAAAGCAGCGAACGGGUGAGUAACAAGUAGGUAGCCUACCCCGCUAACCGGGACGGACCAAGGCAACUCGCGCUAAUACCGGAUGUGUUCUCUGUACUUCGGUUUGGUGCGUAAAUGAAGCUUCGGUUUCCGUAUCCUGAGAGGCCCGCGCCCCAUUAGUUUGUUGGUUAGGUAACGGCUUACCAAGACAGCGAUGGGUAGCUGGUCUGAGAGGGUGAUCGGCCACACUGGGACUGAGACACGGCCCAGACUCCUACGGGAGGCAGCAGUGGGGAAUCUUGCGCAAAGCGCGAAAGCGUGACGGAGCAACGCCGCGUGGGGGAAGAAGGUCUUCGGGUUGUAAACCCCUUUUAGGAGGGAAGAAGGUACGUCUGUGUAUAGAUGCACGUAUUGACGGUACCUAAACAGGAAGCCCCGGCUAACUACGUG